CACUUCAUAGCAUAUUAUGGUGUGCACUUGCUUCAGUUAUAAGGGCACAGCCGAAGUUGAGCAAGCAAGAAGCCCCGGUUCGAUUCCGGGUCGAGUGA